UACAGAGGGUGCGAGCGUUAAUCGGAAUUACUGGGCGUAAAGCGUGCGUAGACGGUUAUGUAAGUCGGGUGUGAAAGCCCCGGGCUCAACCUGGGAAUUGCAUUCGAGACUGUGUAGCUAGGGUACGGAAGAGGGAAGCGGAAUUUCAGGUGUAGCGGUGAAAUGCGUAGAUAUCUGAAGGAACACCAGUGGCGAAAGCGGCUUCCUGGUCCAGUACCGACGUUCAGGCACGAAAGCGUGGGGAGCGAAUGGG
rnacentral:rRNA from 1 species